UACAGAGGGUGCAAGCGUUGUUCGGAAUUAUUGGGCGUAAAGGGCGCGUAGGCGGUGCGGUAAGUCUGUAGUGAAAUCUCUGGGCUCAACUCAGAGUCUGCUGCAGAAACUGCCGUGCUUGAGUGUGGGAGAGGUGAGUGGAAUUCCGAGUGUAGAGGUGAAAUUCGUAGAUAUUCGCAAGAACACCAGUGGCGAAGGCGGCUCACUGGCCCGAUACUGACGCUGAGGCACGGAAAGCGUGGGGAGCAAACAGG
rnacentral:rRNA from 1 species